rnacentral:lncRNA from 1 species
GGCAAAGCCCAGCUGGUGGUAGAGACAGACAGGGACGGCAGAUGAGCGCCCCCUACCUGCACCGAGCCCCCAGGGUUCCCACCGCCUCUGGGCUCAGUGUACUUCAGAUGGAACUCUGACUAUCUCCAGAUCAAAACAAUCAGUUCCUCUGAUAGUGAUUGUAAAUCCUUUGGGGUCAAGAAGCUGCAGACCUGGUGAUGGGGGAUGAAAAGGACCAGUCUUCUUUUCCUCUCCCGAAAAACAUGAAAAGAAGAUUCCAGGAGUUGGCACAAAAAGUUGGGUCUCCCUCCUUCAGCUUGGGAAGGAAAAACACUGGGGAAAGUUGUGUUGCGGGUUUGGGGUGUGAUUACGUUUAUUGGGGUGGGUUUGGUGUGGGUUUAUUGUUCUCAGCAUUUGGCCAGGAUUGAAAUGAUGUGAGUGGCAGACACCAUAAGGCCACUGGCCCUUGCGAUACUACUAAUUGUGCCAACUCCCCACACAUUAAGCAAGCUGUUUGCUUGUGGUCCACACAUUGCAAAUCAAAGAGAAUCCUGAGAACAUGAACCACGGGGGGCGAUAAAACGUGGGUUGGUUGGCUCCAUUAUUCCAUCAUUCUGUCAUUCGUGACAUCAGCCAUUCCCUCCUGUGAAUGGCCCCCUGGCUCAGCUAAAAUUGCAUCUGGCCCAUCCUCCUACUGAUAGCAUAACCCCCCUCCCCACUCCGCACACACCACCACCCCUAGCCCCUUGCUGGCCCUUUCCUUGCUUUUAAUGUGGACAAAAGCCCAAAGCCCAACAUGCUCCAGCAGCCAAGAUUUCCUCUAACUGCAGAUGAGGAGAUACAGAAAGAGCCACUGCCUCCCCCCUUUAGACCCCCACUUGCAAGAACACCUGCUAUGCUGAUUGCUCAUUCAGAACCACCAACACCAUUUCCUGCUCCCCUUCCCUACUAGCCUCCUGUGACUACUGGCCACCCGUCCGGGAGCUGCAGCCCAACUAGGGAAUCAAGCGAGGGCCUCAUCCAUGGCCCCCUGCAAGCUGGAUCAGCCCAGCUAGUGCUCCAUCGCUUCAGCCCCAAAAGCCCGGAGGUGGGCGCAUGGGCACAGGGUGAGGCAGGGCAUCUGCUCCUUGGCUGCCCGGCCGUGAGCAGCAUGCAAGCCUGCAGUUGGCCAGCUUCCCCCAAUCAAGCCCAGCUUGACCAAACUCCAAUCACUUUGAUAAGGAAAAACCACCCAAACCCUAUCCUGGAGGAAGUCAGUACAUCCGUGUUAAGAAAGCAUUAAGCCAUUCUUGCUCAGGCUGUGUUUCUUUGGAUGUUAUUAAUUUUUAUGAAGGUGCU